AACCCGAAUAUGGUUGCGACGACCAUUAUUCUAUUUUUGAAAGGCUUUAUCGAUAUUUUCCUAUUCCUUCAUUGGGAUAAAUAAAGUUCGAUGGCGACUCUGUUCGAACUAAAUUUUUUCCGCGACCAUCGCGAGGAAUCAUAUUUUUCGAGAUGCGACAAUGGGCAUAUCUUAUUCCACUAUCAAAUUCACUUAUUCCUCAAAAUUCUGACAAACUCAUCCGAUAUAAUUCCUCAACUUCUCAACUUCCUCAACACUACAUGAUUGUU
rnacentral:lncRNA from 1 species